AAGAGGUUUCACACAUACAAAUGUUAAUUUUAAAAUACUCAUUUGUACGUGUGAAACUUCUUCC
rnacentral:pre_miRNA from 1 species